rnacentral:lncRNA from 1 species
GGGACCAAGUCUCAUACAUAUGAUGUAUAGUGGCACAGGAUCGAAUGUCACAUCUUUAUAUACAACAGGAGUUCUAUACAAAAUAAAUAAUUACAUUAUAAGGAGACAACGGUCCAGCAACCCCAAAGUUGACUGGGAGACGACGACCUAGACCUCUCACGAACUCAUCACAGCAUCCUCCAUGAGCAUCAUCCUGCAGUACCUGGUCUUGACCUGUGGUGUAUGUGAGACAGCAAGAGUGAGCUCACAUACGUUCAUCGCUCAGCAAGUUGUGGGGAAUAAUGUGCAUGAACUCGCCAAAGGUGGGAGCUCACGUGAGGUGUAAGGCUUACCAAAGAAGAUGGUUAGAGCUGAGCAUUGCUUUUAAAGUUGGUCAAAAUUUUAUUAGCAGUUACUAAGUAUAAGUAAAUACCAACCCAGUUAAAUAGUAGAACCAAAGUAACAACUUCACCUGCGAUGCAAUGCAUAUGACAAAUUGAAUUUAGUUCCAUAAUUUAAUCAUGUGAGUGUCCGAGCCGCUCAUGACCGUGAGCACGGCUAGUAUACCAGUUUUACACUCUGCAGAGGUUGCGCAUCUUUACCCACAAGUCGUGUAUCCCAUGUCGCCAGGGUUUGCAAGGCCCUUAGACACUUCCGAGGUGAAUGGCUAGGGAUCCACUACGAGGCCUUUACAAAGUUCCACUAGCUUCCGAAAACCCGCUACAGUUUAUAGGAAGAUCCAGUACAGGAAUCCCUUGCAGGACCGCCAUCGCAGCAAAAUCCUCCCGAGGGCCUCCCUGCACUGACCUCUCCCCUACUGCCCUUGCCCCUUUCGGGUAAGGUAGUCUUCCACUAGCUUUCCUAAUUAAUCAGCCAAGGGCGUCCCAUUAAACCCUUGUGGUAGCACUGUUUUCCCGGGUGGUUCUCCAUGUUCCAAUUAACAUAAUGAUCUCAAUAUGAACAAUAAAUAAUAACUGAUAACAAAAGUGUAACCAUGAAUAGUGUAUCUCCAUACCCAAAACCACAUAUAGCACUAGCAAGUACUACCCAGAAAGUUCAGUGGUGAACAAGGUAUAAAGAUAAUCAAACUAGGUAACCUGUUGGGUCCCAUCAAAAUUAACCUAUGCAGAUCAUUAUGAUUAAUUAGAACAUGAGUAGGUAAAAAGAAGUGAUCAAGGGCACAACUUGCCUGGGCCUUGAGAAUCCAGGUACCAGGAUGAUCCUCAGGUGAUACGUAUCCUCACUGCUAGUCGUAGCAAUUCAAACAAACAUUGUAUAGCAAGAAUUAACAUUACACCAAACAUGUAAAUAAAAUACAUAGUAAUAAACUAGACACUAAAAUGAGAUCAUAGGAACUGGAAUCAUUAAUUUUGGAGUUAUAGAUUUUAAGUUAUGAAUUUCCGAAAUUAUUUAGUGCUUAGAAUAGAUUAAUCCAAGUGAACCAUUUUAAUUCAAGUUUCAUAGUUAAACAGUGUUACUAGUUGAUAGACAAUAUUAAUACAAAAUUAUUGCAACUGGAAUGACUCAAUUUGGAGCUAAAAUGAAUUUUCUAUGAAUUAUCUAAGUUAUGGCAAUUAUUUUCAUAUUAAAAAUCCAUUUUCUAUUUUAUUUAUUCAAUUUAAACGAGUUCUGGACUGGGCCUCAAUAACAGAAAACCGCAGGGGGUUCAGCGCAAGAAACCCGAGACACGGGGAACAGUGCCCGAGGGACGGCGGGUUUAUUCCGGGAAAGCCGAGGGGCUCUUUAUGAAGAUUGCCACGGCGAAGGGGUAUUCUCAGAUCUCGGCCGUCCGAUCAAGCGUGAACGGCCAAGAUUAAAUCCGAGCCCCGCGAACCGGUACGCAUCCCUGACCGUUGGAUCGAGAUCCAAAGGCCCGGAUCCACUCAACCGAACAGCGCACCCAUGUCUAAUCAUAUCCGUUGAACUCCAGAUGGACGGCUUAGAUCUCGGCUUCAAUGUGACAACAGGAGAUUUAAUCUACACCGCCCAUAUCAGAUCGGACGGUCAUCGUUCGUCUUCCCCAAGCCAACAGCGAGCGGCGCCCAGGUGACCACCGCGGCGGAGGACGCCGGUGAGCACCCAAAUCCCGGCGCAGUACGCGGAUCAAUGUGUCGCGGACGGGUGCUAACCCCAAAUCGAGGGUACGACGGACACAGGGGAGGAAUUAUUACCGGCAAUGGCGAUGAGGAGGAGCAGCGCCACGGUGAUGCAGGGCUCCGCGGCGAAUGAAGAAAUCCGAUGAGCAAUUCAUGGUUGCGUGGUCGCCGAUCCUGCCCGACAGCGCCACGGAAAGCUUCACUACGACUCGGAGUUUCCGAUUGACGGUGCGCCACAGGUAGGAAGUUGGUACAGAGGCGGGUUACCGGUGGCGGCUAUAUCUAACCGAGCGGCGGGCGGUGGCGCAGUAGAUGCCGUUGGAGCGGUGGCGGAAAAAGGGAGGCGUAGGUGGGAACGUCGACGGCCGAGUAAUUUAUAGCUAGAAUUAAGUCCGUGGGGGGGGGGGGGUUUGGCCGGAGUCGCGCGGAGCUCACGGUGGCGGAUUUGCCGCGAUUCUGUUGGAGCUUGCGGCCGGGGAAGAUGACAAGUAGGGCCCACCUGCCAUACACAGUGAUUCCCACGGAGUGAAUGAGCUAUGGCCUGCCAGCAGGGCCCGCAUGGCAGUCUCACCGGGCGGGAUGAGUUAUUGGGCUGGCGCGAGCGAGGGAUCCCAAGGUGGGCCGAAAGCAAGGAAUAGAGGCCCACCCGACCGAAUACUGCUUUCCUUUUUUUUUUUAUUUAUUAUUCUUUCAUUCCCUUUCUUCAAAUUUCAGUUUUCCAAUUCUAAUUUAAAUUCAAAUUUUUCAGAGUUCAGAUUUCAAAAUUAUAUGCAUCACAUAAAACUCCAGUAUGAGUGCAAGGAUCCAUAUGUUCAUAUUAGUUAUUUUAUCCAUGCUUCAAAACAUAUAAAUUAACAAAGAGUAUUUCACAACUCAUUUAUAUUGGGAUGAAUAAAUGGUUUCCUAAACAUUUCCUAGUUUCCUAACUUAAGCUUGUUUCACAAUUUUGAAUACAAAGUGUAAACUUAUAAGAAAACUUCAUGGAAUGCACAUUUAUGUAUCUAUUUUAUUUGUUAUUUACAUAAUUUAAUGCCAUUGAUUGAUUAUGUAGAGAAAAUCAAGGGAUCCUCGAAACAUCCACUUUAUAUAUUUACUUAUUUAUUAUUUUUUUUUCUCUUACCAAUUUUUGGGCUUUACAAAUCCUACCCCCCUUAAAAAUAAUCUCGUCCCCGAGAUUUGUAAGGACAGGGAUGUAAAAAGUUUUAUUUAUAGUUUAGCCUUUAACUUUUAGUUAGUUUAGGAAUCGAGAGGUUUCAUAUUAUUUAGAUGGUGGUUAUAAAAGCUUGGGUAUGUAUAUCCACUCUAUUGUGUAUGGUAUAAGAUGUCUUUAAAGCAUAGAGAAGUUUGGUUAAGAAAGGGUAGGGUGAGGAAAGACUCCAUCCAAGAUUGUGGAUCUUGACUCUUCUUUGGUGAUCUCACUUGAUCCUUGAAGACUUGAGUUGGUGCUCAUCCUUCCUUGAUGAAGUUGAUCAUCCCCUUUGGUCUUGUCUCAUUGAUUAGGAGUUAGUGUAUAUUAUUGGGCUAGAGAAUGUGGUUAAGAUAGGUAUGGAUGAGAUAGAUUACAUGAUAUAGGUCAAAAUCUGGUUUGAUGUCAGGUGGUGGUUGAUAGAUUAUGCAAUCCUUUAAGACUCUAUUGAUUGGGUCAGAUCUCAUGCAUGUGAUUUAGUUGGUCUAAUGUACUGAGUUAACACCUGACUAGUAGGGUCUAUUCUCUUCUACCAGUAUCACUAAUCUGUUUAAGUAGACCACAUUAGAUAGAAUCUAGAUCAGGUUGGAUAUAACUAGAUUAGACUAGUUUAGGUUAGAUAGAUCCCAUAGGGUAGAAUAUGUAUUAUUAAGAUAUGUUAGAAUCUUUUGAGAUAGGAUGGGGUAUACGGUGUAGGUAGGUCAGAAGCUCUAUUAGGUUAACACAGAGGGAUUAUGCAACUAUCGGAUGGGUAAGGUAGUUGCAUGUGUAUAUGAUCAAGCUAAUCUAGGGCAUCAAUUUAGCUUAAAUCAUUUUUAUAGGAGUGAGGUCUAAUCCAUUUCACUAGUACUAACUAAUUUAUUAAAUAACUCACUUUAGAUUGGAUCAUAUUAGAUUAGAUGGGAUCUAGAUUGGUAUCACCGGAUUAGUCUAGACAAUAUCUAAUUACUUUGGAUUAGAUCUUGGUUGUUACUAGGGUGGGGUAAAUAUGUUUAUUAGGGCAAGAUGAAUCCAUAAGGACAAGUUAGAAUCUUUUGAGGUCAGUUGGAUCUAUUAGGAUGAGAUAAAAUCUUUUUAAGAUAAGAUGAGUAUCUUUUAAGAUGAGAUGGAUCUAUUAAGAUAAGGAAGAAUCUUUUAAGAUAAGAUGAAUUGAUUAGAAUGAAAGCUUUUAGGAUAAGAUAAAUCUCUUAAGCUAGAUGUGUUCCAAUGGGGAUAAUCUAGGUUGUCUAGUUAUUUUAUAAAUAUAUUUUUUUAUGCCUAUGUGUAUAUGCAGAUGCGAUUGUGGACAUUACUCCACAACCCAUCACACUCAAUCAAAGAUCCAAAUCAGACAAAUAUCAUAAGAACAAACAUUCAAAUACAUAGACACUUAUAAAAAUAGUUUUUUUUUGUUCCUAGGAUUAGGUCUCCUAUUCCUAAAGUCACUUUAGGUACAGGAUUUCAAAGUGUAAAAUCCACAUGUGUCUUUUAGAAAGAAAAGAUAAGAAUAAUCAGAGUAAAGCGGAAUUAGAUGAGAAAAGAUUAAGAAAAGUUUAGAAAGAAUCAGAGUAGCAAAGGUAAGUAGACAAUGGUUGUCCAGAUCUAUCUAGGUUUCGUCCUACAGUCAACAUUCCUCUGAUACCACUUCUGUAACACCCGGAUUUUAGGGGUCCAAAACCCGGGGUUAACAUAAACACCAGGUAUGCUGGGACCAAGUCUCAUACAUAUGAUGUAUAGUGGCACAGGAUCGAAUGUCACAUCUUUAUAUACAACAGGAGUUCUAUACAAAAUAAAUAAUUACAUUAUAAGGAGACAACGGUCCAGCAACCCCAAAGUUGACUGGGAGACGACGACCUAGACCUCUCACGAACUCAUCACAGCAUCCUCCAUGAGCAUCAUCCUGCAGUACCUGGUCUUGACCU